ACAGUAUUCAUACGAACGCGGACGAACGCAAGUGCUCAAAUAUUAUUUCAGUGCUGAAGCAAAUAUUAGAGUGAUUUAAAUUUCAACAACAUAAAAGUCAAACGGUUGUAAUGUAAAAAUAACGUUAUUCUCAUAAAUAUUACGAUUGCCUUUUCUUGAUUCGAACUACGUGGCGUAUGUACGUGAUGGAUUGAAAAUGUAGCCUGUCCGUUCUAGUGUAUUCAGUUACAUAAAGAGUUCGCGAGAUUCUGUGGCCGGUGUUCCAUGAACACGCAAAAGAACGCACUCAUGAAUCUUCUAGAUGCUCAAGACGGACUUUAUAUGCGAAAUAAUUCAAUACUGUUGUACUAACUUAGUCGUAAGGAAAUGUAUAUAUGUACAUGACAAUUAUUCUUUGAAAUAAAGUUAUCACUAUUAA